CCGCCGUUAGUUGCCAGCGGUUCGGCCGGGCACUCUAACGGGACUGCCCGCGAAAGCGGAGGAAGGAGGGGACGACGUCUGGUCAGCAUGGCCCUUAAGGCCUGGGCGACACACGUGCUACAAUGCCCACUACAAAGCGAAGCCACCCGGCAACGGGGAGCUAAUCGCAAAAAGGUGGGCCCAGUUCGGAUUGGGGUCUGCAACCCGACCCCAUGAAGCCGGAAUCGCUAGUAAUCGCGGAUCAGCCAUGCCGCGGUGAAUACGUUCCCGGGCCUU
rnacentral:rRNA from 1 species